GUGACAGAGUUUCCAGGGCAAGCGUUCAACACAAAUAAUAUUAAAUUAUCUCUUAAUACAUUUUACAGAUUUACAAGAUAUGCACAGGAUACUGAAAUUACAAUAUUAUUUUUAGAAGAACAAAUAGUGUUACUUUAUAAACCCACAUUUUCUGUUCAUUACUCCCAGGUUUCGGUGUUUUACAGGGACACUACAGUCACCAAACCUACUACAACUUAGUGUAGUGGUUCUGGUGUCUAUAGCAUGUCCCUGCAGCCGUGGCACUGUAAACACUGCCUUGUCAGAGAAAAGGCAGUGUUCGCAUUGCUGGUUAGUUACACCUCUAGUGUCAAUCACUCAGACGACCACUAGAGGUGCUUCACAGUGCAGCAUCUACGUUCAACUUCUCCAUGCUCUGCAUUGAUUCACUGCAUCUCUAUGAGGAGAUGUUGAUUGGUACAGCGCAGCUUUUUGCCAUGCAUGAAAGCAUUGGAUUGGCUGAAAUCACCAAGACUGAGGAUCUCAGCCACAAAGGUGGGUCCAAGCAAAGCCAGCCACAGCAAAAUCAGCACAGCAUGGUAGGAAAGGUAAGUAAAAUCAACUUUAAUCUCUGAAGAGAGGAGGCCUAGAGACCUAAUGCAAAAUUCAAGCACUACAGUAUCACUAUAGUGCUUCUCUUUAACCUCUGGAAAUACAACUGCUUAUAUUGUCAGGUCUGGUAGUUGUAGUUCAGCCGUUAGCAUUCUACAGUAGAAAGCUAACAUUUGAACUACAACUCACAGCAAGCCUUGCUGUACCCAUAAAGCACUUCUUAUGGGAUAAGCUUAGACGUUUUAAAAAAAAGGUAAUCGAGCAGCACUUAUCACGUUUCACAUGGCAUAUUGCAUGGGCAUUUGAAACAAAUGUAGAAAUCUCAAAUGUAUAAUUUAAAAAAAAAAAAUUAUUAUUCUUACUAUUGUUAAUGUACUAUCUGUAUAAUGCAUUUACAAAAUAAUAGGGCAUAUUCAGCCUGUAGUAGUUUCCAUUCAUGAGCUAUUUCGCCUCCAUUAGAAGUGCUCAUGUUAUUGUCUUGUGUGGCAAAUUCUAACUCCAACUUCUUCAUAUUAGCUUCGGGCAUAGAAGGAGCACAGUGUUUGGCCGCGCAUGCUUACUACCAUCAGUCCUUCUAUAUGAGAGGCAUUGGACUGGAAAAGAUUGAAAAGACAUGAGCAGGCAUACUAACGUCUUCAAAGGUGGAAGGGAUGGCUGCAGUGGAGGAGUCCUGAAAUUGGAAAAGAGGUGAGUAGCCUCUUUUUACUUGUUUUUUUUUAAUGCCAAUGGAGGGUGCACAGUACAAUCACUUAGUCCAUUCAUGUCACUUUGAUUGCUGUAGUGGUUAUAGUACCAGGAGUCUUCUGAGACCGACUGCAGGACCCAUCGCACCUUCCCGACAGGGAAGACCCUGGACCUCACUGGACCCCAAACUCGUGGCAAAAGGGUGCCAGCUCUCACAUAGUACCGGGGCCGGAGUGGUGCCUCUCCUCCACGAUGUCACGCUUUCCCCCCAAUUGGACUGAGCUCAAGCACAAGAAAUAACCCUCGCAGGGGUGUUGGAUGACUGUUCACUUACCGCUCACUUGGCUGGGCAACCCGCAACCUGGGUCCAAAGAAACACCGACAAGGACUCACUCAAAUAUUAGCAAGGAGACAUGCAUUAACCUGUGUUAAUGAUAUGUAUAUCUCUCCCGCUUUUACCUUUAUUUUCAUGUUUCACUAUCACACUUUAUUCUCACACUUAUAAUACUAUAAAAUGUGCAAGUCCUAUCUAUUCCCCAUUACACAAUGCAAUGCUAAUCCUGAGGAAUGCCUUUGGGGUACCUCAAGCCUGUUUGUAAUACUCUUUGCACGACAAAAAUCUAAAAUAAAAUACAUUUUUUUUAAAAAAAUGAAUAGUCACCCAGACCACUUAAUGUCAAUGAAGUGGUCUGGGUGCAGUGAUACUGUCAUUUUAACUCUGCAAUUUAAAUGAUUGUGGUUUUUUUUUUCUCCAGAAACUGCAGUGUUUACAUUUCAGGGUUUAAUACACUUUUGAUUCCCAGACUUAAUAAUGAUUGCUAUUUUCAGGACUAUAGGUUUCCUUUAAUUUUAAGGUUUUAUUCCAAGGUGUUAUUUCCGUAGAAGUGCCAGUUCCAAUUUAAAUAUACGAUUCUGAUUGGGAAAUAUUCUAUUUCAUUACAUGGGUUUGUUAAAUAAAUUAAUGAAUGUUUAAUGAAUGAAUGCUGAGAUCUUGGCCAUUACCUAUUAGGGAUUGUGUCGCUCUGUAUGUAUAGUGGAAUUCCCAUACAUUGGGCUUGAUAAAGCCCCUGUCCGGUUUGCUAGGCACAAAAUAAAAGUUAGAUGCCUGAGAAGAUAAUUUUUAGAAAGCAGAGGGACUAGCAGUGUUCCUCAACCCAAUCCUCAUGGCCCACCAAAAAUCUAUCAUGGCUAACCAUCACUAACUUAGUACUAAUACACAAAAUAAGUCCUGCACUCAGACUCCCACUACUCCUGGGCUGCAGCCAUGACCAUAGUACAGAUCAGCCUCAAUCUGUAAAAUAAGAAAAGACUUACCUGCUCACUACUCCGUAUCCCUGUGGAUAUUUAAAUGGAAGCUUUUUUGUAGCACUUUUUGUAAGCCCACUUGCUACGGCAAGGCAGACCUCUUAGGUGGGUCCUACACUAACAAUUCACCUUCCUUCCUUCAGCUUUAGGCAAACAAAUAUCUAAUGAGAUAGAGAGGGGGAUUUUUCUAAACCCCUACAUACUUAUUAAUCCUUAAUAGGGAGCACAUGGGGUGAGCGGCAGAAUUGUUAGUGUAGAACCUACCUAAGAGGUUUGCCUUGAUGUGACAGGUGGACUUACACCUAAUGGGCAUUGGACUGAAACGAAAAAACAACUUAGUACUGCCAAACUAGAAUCCAGCACAGAGAAACACUCAACAGACAUUUAACGCUUGCCAUGCUAUCAUUCUCUUGUGACAUUUAUGAAUUCUGUAUUCUGUUAGUAAGGCCAUGUGUGCAGUUCAUGUCAGGUUGCUGUUUCAUGUUUCGUCUGAUAAAAUCCAGCGCUCUGAAAACCAAAAUGGUGUAGUGGCAACAGUUGAAGAUAGGAAGAAAUAAAAUGUGAGACCAUCCCAGCAUCUCAUUCAGGUAGAUUGAACGCUAUAAAUGCUAUAAGUUACUUUGCCAUUUAACGUUGGAUGUUUUACUAUUUUCCCAUAUUUUAAGCAUUAAGUCGUCGCUGAAUGCAUUGGAGCUAUGGCAGUACAAAGGUUAACUUCACAAUUAUCUACACAGGGCCUUAAAUAUGGAAUCAUUUCUUGAAGUGGUGGUCUUGCAUCCAGCUAUCGGCGAAUAAGAAGAGAAAGGCAUAUUUGUUUUUUGGAAUGGAGAGUGACAUUUGGAAUGGUCUCCCGAGUUAGAUGAACUAAUAAGGUAUUUGUGCAAUAAAUAAAAAUACACCUCCUUUCGGGAGGGGUGUGUGUACAACAAAGUGCUAAAAUAAAUAAGCGGCAGCAGCUCUGUACACUUGUGUGGAAAUAUCCUCUUAUCCACACCAAAAAUGCCAAAUCUUUUAGAGGGUGUAAGUAGAAACCUACGUCUUUAAGUGGAGCGCUAGAUAGUUUUUGUGCGUAGGUGAGGUAAACUUACCCCAUGUAACUUUGCUAAAAGCUUGAUUUGAAAUACAUAUAAAAGAUAAAAAAUACAAUAUAGUGCAAAAUGUUUUAUCUUUAAAAUAUACCCUACAACGAAUUGGAGGUGUGAUGCUGCCUUAAAAGCAUAAAAGCUCGAUUACGGAGCCAGUAUUUAUACACGGGCUCCUUUAAAUGUGAGUGUCCUGAUAUCACCAUCACCUAUUUUAUCUCAUUCCACGUGCCAUCUGCACUAUAAUGUAUUUUUUUAUCUUUUAUAUGUAUCUCAAGUCAAGUUUUUAACCAAUUAUGUGGAGUAAGUUUACCUCACCUAUGCACAAAACGUAUCUAGCGCUCCACUUAAAGGUGUAGGUUUCUACUUACACCUUCUAAAAGAUAAUAAGGUAUUUGUAUUUAACCGUUGUGAGCGCAGAUCACCCAGCUAGCACACCACUGGUUAAACUGGUCUGUAUUGACAUGAAGUCUCAAGGGCAAGCCACGGGCCUUACUUUCAAG